AUUGAACGCUGGCGGCAGGCUUAACACAUGCAAGUCGUACGAGUGGCGGACGGGUGAGUAAUGCUUGGGAAUCUAGCUUAUGGAGGGGGAUACCUACGGGAAACUGUAGCUAAUACCGCGUACCAUAGGAUGAGCCCAUAUGGGAUUAGGUAGUUGGUGUGGUAAAGGCUCACCAAGACGACCAGCUCUAGCUGGGCGGAGAGGAUGACCAGCCACACUUGGACUGAGAAACGGCCCAGACUCCGACGGGAGGCAGCAGUGGGGAAUAUUGUGCAAUGGGGGAAACUUGACGCAGCCAUGCCGCGGGAAUGAAGAAGGCCUUCGGGUUGUAAAGUUCUUUGAGUUGCGAGGCGUUACCUACAGAAGAAGCACCGGCUAACUCCGUGCCAGCAGCCGCGGUAAUUC
rnacentral:rRNA from 1 species